AUUGAACGCUGGCGGCAUGCCUUACACAUGCAAGUCGAACGGUAACAGGUCUUCGGAUGCUGACGAGUGGCGAACGGGUGAGUAAUACAUCGGAACGUGCCCGAUCGUGGGGGAUAACGAGGCGAAAGCUUUGCUAAUACCGCAUACGAUCUACGGAUGAAAGCAGGGGACCGCAAGGCCUUGCGCGGACGGAGCGGCCGAUGGCAGAUUAGGUAGUGGGUGGGAUAAAAGCUUACCAAGCCGACGAUCUGUAGCUGGUCUGAGAGGAUGAUCAGCCACACUGGGACUGAGACACGGCCCAGACUCCUACGGGAGGCAGCAGUGGGGAAUUUUGGACAAUGGGGGAAACCCUGAUCCAGCCAUGCCGCGUGCAGGAUGAAGGCCUUCGGGUUGUAAACUGCUUUUGUACAGAACGAAAAGGUCGCUUCUAAUAAAGGCGGCCCAUGACGGUACUGUAAGAAUAAGCACCGGCUAACUACGUG
rnacentral:rRNA from 1 species